GUGCUCAACUCAGCAGCACAUACACUAAAAUUAGAGCAGUACAGAGAAGAUUAAUAUGGCCCCUGCACAAGAUUGAUAUGCAAAUUCUUGAAUCAUUCCUUAUUUUU
ensembl:snRNA U6 U6 spliceosomal RNA